CUCAACCAGACGACAUGACGUUCCUCUUUUUGCUGAGCAUUGCUGCCAGCGCUCCACUGCUCUCAGAGGAGAUUAUCACACAGGCUCCCGCCGACAUCAUUGAGGCGAUGGGGCGCUCGAUCUCGAUUGAAUGUUCUCACAACAUACCGAGCUACAACCAGAUUUUGUGGUAUCAGCAGCGUGGUGUGAGCAUGGAGCUCAUUGGGUACAUGUACCACACAACUUCCACGAUGGAAAAAUCAUUUGAGGACGUGGAGUUGAAUGGCAGCGCACAAUCCGGCAAAACGUGCAAAAUGGUCAUUCCCAAGCUGCGCCUGAACAGCAGUGCUGUUUACUACUGUGCAGCUAGUUACCACGGUGCAGACCGAGCUUUUUUCGGCGAGGGAACCAAACUCACUGUUUUAGAACCAAACGUCAACAUCACACUGCCUACGGUGACGUUAUUCCCACCGUCGGAACACGAGUGUGCCAAGGACAAAGAGGCCAAGGUCAAGACGCUGGUUUGCGCGGCUACUGACUUCUACCCCGACCACGUCAGAGUGGUCUGGAUGGUGGACGGUGAGAAGCGAGACAGGGGCGUAGCAACGGACCCCGAGGCUGCGCGGCGAGGGGUCUACUACCACCUCACCAGCAGGCUGAGAGUCCCAGCUCGCGAAUGGACGCACGAGAGAAGGAAAUUCACCUGUGUCCUGACGUUCUUCAACGGAAAGGAAAAUAUCAAAGUUGAGAAGUCAAUCAACGGCAAAGAAGGCUCAUCUGAAGACCAAUAUAACCGAGAGAGCUUCCUGAGGUUGACGCAGAGCGCCAAGCUGUCGUACGGCGUCCUCAUUGCCAAGAGCUGCGUCUAUGCCGGCUUCGUGGCAUUACUGCUGUGGCGGCUCGGGGUGUCUGGAAAAAAAAACUGAAGGAGGAACACUUUUUGUUGUGUUUGUUUUAUUCACUUUGUUGUCUUGCAUUCACAAUUUUUCAUAUUAAAAACUAUAAAAAAUUUGCUUCUGGCUGCUUGUUAAAUCACGUUUAUUUGUCUGGCAUCGAAAAAAAAAAAGACUUCAGAUACACAGUUGACUUUAAACUAGUAAAUAUUAUCAUAUUCAUUAAUAUUACGAUAUCAAAUAAAUAACAGUAAGUAUGUGACACAUAUAACAAAUGAGUAGUUAUAACAACAAUAAUAAUAUUAUUAAAUGAAUAAGAAACAUUAAAAAUAAAAAAUAAUGAUAAUUAUGACAUCAACUAAAGGCUUCAGAAGAGACAUUCUUUAAAAUAUAAAUGCAUAAUUUGUUUAUUGGCUACAGAGAGCAUUUAUGUACAUAUAGUAUAUGGUGGAAAACACUCAGGUGGCUUGAAGUUCUGCUCUGAGACCCCCAAUUUGGCCAAAUUUCAAAACUGUUCUAUAUGCAUGUGUAAUACAUCAUUGGAAAGUUUAAAACCAUUAUUUUCUGAUGGAAGAAAAAAAUUGAGCAAGAGGGCAUUUAAAUUUUUUUUUAUUAUAAUAAUUUAAGACACCAUGAUUUUAACGAGAUAUUAUCGCGUACAUACCUCAUUUCGAUCCCAAAACUGUAGCAUGUAUCACCAAGUGUCAAGACACAGCUGUGAAUGGCCACAGUUGGACUUUUGGAGGAUUUCAUGGGUGAAAUAGGGUAAUAUAACAAGGGUCGCGAUGCAGAAUUCGCAGACAUCAAGGAGUGGUCAAGAUUUCCUCUUUUCAAAUAUUGACACUUUUAAAGUUUUUGUUUUCUAUUUUUCUUUGGAUCAAUUAUUUAUCAUCUAAAAUAUAAGGGAAAAUGCGACAGCAACAACAACAAAAAAAAUACAAUUGAGCGAUAGUUUUGAGGUAGAUAACCCCUGACCUAUUUACAGACACUAUUUUUUUUUAUUGAGACGUAAUUUGUUUAAAAGUUUAAAAUAUGCAAGUGAAUAAUUUGUUUAGGUCGUUUUUUUUUUUUUUUUUUUUUUUUUUUACUAAAUAUUAGACAUCAAUUAAUGAUUCUAAGCUAAAAAAAUAUAGACAUUUCGAAUAAUAAAUAUACUGUAAUUAUUUACCUUCUUUUUAUGGCUGGGUUGAAACAUAAGCAUUUGCGCAGUGUCUGUAAACGGGGGUCUCCAGUGUAAAAUGGACAAACUAAAAAUAGUCCGGGGGCAUAAUGUGCCAUGAAACUGCUAUGGCAGCAUAUAGACAUGUUGUUCUUUAAAAAAAACAACAGUUCUUUUGGCUAAAAAUGCAAGAGCAGAAACUGCUUUUUCAGCCUUGUCUGUUUUCUGCCACGUAUAUAUAUAUAUUAGUGCUGUCAAACGAUUAAAAAAUUGAAUCUAGUCAAUCAUAUGUCAACUGUGUGAUUAACCCUUUAACACCGAACGUGUCGGCAGCAACGCGUUUAUGCAUAUCGUCUUUGAAGCUUCGUCACGCUGUAAUUACGUCACUCACGUGCCGCUGGUUGGUCUCGUUUGAAAGUGCGGAAGUUGAUGUCCACACCAGUUUUUAUUUGAAGUCAAUCGACCAAGAAAAACGGGAGAUAAUGUCAUUUGAGUUUUAUAGUUUUAUUGCACUCGUAAAUAUGCAUUAAAACGCUGCAUGGACCAUGUAUCUAUCUCCAUAUUUCCAUCAUUUCUUGUCCUUUUUCAAAACCGAAAGCAGCACAAAAGACUACAGAUCCCAAGAGCCGUUGUGAAGUCAAGAAGGACGAACCGAACAUUUUUAAUAAAUUUCCCAGGCAGGCGCCAACUAAUGAAAGGGAGGCAUGCGAAGCAAGCAACGGCCGGUUGGAUUGUGCGAGUGACUUUGAAACGUGCAGAAUGAAUCAAAGCUACAUUUAGCGCAAGCUAAUGCAUUAUUUCAUUAACUCAAGGAAGAAGUUGAGCCGUAUUUGUCGUUGUUUUCUUUGGAUGAGUCAGCGUCUCGGCGAGUAGAAGUGACAGCAGCGCGCAAACGGCAAAAGAGUAGGCUGUGUGACGCAGCUCCGUGACCUGUUCAAGAAAAAGCUUUAUUGAGUGCGCAAAAAAAAAUCUUUAUUGGGUCGCAUGCCUGAAAAGUUUGAAUUGAACUGAACUACUUGUCAAUAUUUUUUAAAAUACUUUUUUUCAAUGUUAUAUAUAUAUUUUUUCUUCACUAUAAUCUUUUCCAUUUUUAUGUAGAUGUGUGUUCGAGAAGCUUGAUUGCAUGUACGUAUAUACUUUGAUAAGGUGAUGGGUACAACACCUAACUUCACAGAGAUAUCCUCCAAACCCUUUUUGUGUUAGAUGAUAUACAGUAUAUAUUUUUUUCUCAUUAUUUUGCACUGUAUAUAACCUGUUUUGACCAUAGUCUGUGUAAAGGCCAAAAACGCCUAUGACCAU